UACGUAGGGUGCGAGCGUUUAAUCGGAAUUACUGGGCGUAAAGCGUGCGCAGGCGGUUUUGUAAGCCAGAUGUGAAAGCCCGGGGCUCAACUCCGGAAUUGCCUUUAAGACUGCAUCGCUAGAAUUGUGGAGAGGUAAGUGGAAUUCCGAGUGUAGAGGUGAAAUUCGUAGAUAUUCGGAAGAACACCAGUGGCGAAGGCGACUUACUGGACACAUAUUGACGCUGAGGUGCGAAAGCGUGGGGGAGCAAACAGG
rnacentral:rRNA from 1 species